AUUGAACGCUGGCGGCAGGCCUAACACAUGCAAGUCGAACGAGUGGCGGACGGGUGAGUAAGGUAUGAGAACCUGCGUGAUGGAUGGGGAUGAGUACUAGAAACGGUAGCUACUACCGCAUAACGUCAGAUGUGCCCAGGUGGGAUUAGCUAGGUGGUGGGGUACAGGCAGACCAAGGCGACGAUCCCUAGCUGGUCUGCGAGGAUGACCAGCCACACUGGGACUGAGACACGGGCCAGACUCCUACGGGAGGCAGCAGUGGGGAAUAUUUGACAAUGGGCGCAAGCCUGAUGCAGCCAUGCCGCGUGUAUGAAGAAGGUCUUCGGGUUGUAAAGUACUUUUAGCGGGGAGGCGUUACCCGCCGAAGAAGCAACGGCUAACUACGUGCCAGCAGCCGCGGUAAUUC
rnacentral:rRNA from 1 species